rnacentral:rRNA from 1 species
CCUACGGGAGGCAGCAGUGAGGAAUAUUGGUCAAUGGGCGCGAGCCUGAACCAGCCAAGUCGCGUGAGGGAAGACGGUCCUAUGGAUUGUAAACCUCUUUUGUCGGGGAGCAAAAGACGCCACGCGUGGCGUUCCGAGCGUACCCGACGAACAAGCAUCGGCUAACUCCGUGCCAGCAGCCGCGGUAAUACGGAGGAUGCGAGCGUUAUCCGGAUUUCUUGGGUUUAAAGGGUGCGCAGGCGGAAGAUCAAGUCAGCGGUAAAAGUGAGAGGCUCAACCUCUUCGAGCCGUUGAAACUGGUGUGCUGGAGUGAGUGAGAAGUAGGCGGAAUGCGUGGUGUAGCGGUGAAAUGCAUAGAUAUCACGCAGAACUCCGAUUGCGAAGGCAGCAUACCGGCGCUCAACUGACGCUCAUGCACGAAAGUGUGGGUAUCGAACAGGAUUAGAUACCCUAGUAGUC